AACUCACCAGUGCGGAUAAAGAAAGAAAAAGAUGAAAGAAAGGAAAGAAAAGUGAAAAAAAAAAGAUGAAAGAAAAGAAGAAGAAAGAGAAAAGAAAGAAAGGAAGGAUGAAAAAAAUUGAAAGGAAGAAAACAAGUAAAAAGGAAAAGAGAAAGAGGAAAUUAAAAGAAAGAAAGAAAGAAGCAAAAGAAGGGGUAGGAAAUAGAAAAUGAAAAACAAGAGAAAGGAAGGUAAAGAAAAAGAGGAAAGAAAGAAUAUUAAAAAGAAAAAGAAAUAAGAGGAAAAGAAAUAAAAUGGGG
rnacentral:lncRNA from 1 species